rnacentral:rRNA from 1 species
AUUGAACGCUGGCGGCAUGCUUUACACAUGCAAGUCGAACGGUAACAGGCCGCAAGGUGCUGACGAGUGGCGAACGGGUGAGUAAUGCAUCGGAACGUGCCCAGUCGUGGGGGAUAACGCAGCGAAAGCUGUGCUAAUACCGCAUACGAUCUGUGGAUGAAAGCGGGGGACCGAAAGGCCUCGCGCGAUUGGAGCGGCCGAUGUCAGAUUAGGUAGUUGGUGGGGUAAAGGCUCACCAAGCCAACGAUCUGUAGCUGGUCUGAGAGGACGACCAGCCACACUGGGACUGAGACACGGCCCAGACUCCUACGGGAGGCAGCAGUGGGGAAUUUUGGACAAUGGGCGCAAGCCUGAUCCAGCAAUGCCGCGUGCAGGAAGAAGGCCUUCGGGUUGUAAACUGCUUUUGUAUGGAGCGAAAAGGCUCUCUCUAAUACAGGGGGCUCAUGACGGUACCGUAAGAAUAAGCACCGGCUAACUACGUGCCAGCCGCCGCGGUAAAAC